rnacentral:sRNA from 1 species
GUUUAUAUUGAGAUUUGAUG